AAUUUUUGUAGUGAGGAUAUUUAAAAAAUCACCCAAUCCGCUACUUGUAGUUCAAUCUGAUAACCUAGAUCCUUCUGUUCUGAUCUCUCUGAUGAUCGGGGACCAACUCUAUCUCUUCUUUCUCUGCAACAAUCAACUACCAACUACCGACCAACUGCUGAUACAGACGGCCGAUCCCCUUUUUAAACUCUGCCGAGCCCAGAACCGAAAACAUGACAUUUCAUCCAAAUUCUUGGACCAUCGCACUUUCGGGCUAUUGUUUAUUAUUUUCUACUCCAGGUGGGAUCCACUACGUUAGUCUU
rnacentral:lncRNA from 1 species